GGAAAAUAGGGCGUUACGUCACUUACACGAUCAACCAGUCCUAAGAGGGAGAGGGCAGGAGUGAAGCGACGACGAAGGAGAGCGCGCGCGCCCUUUAAGCUGUGGGAAGCGGCGUACGGUGGCCGCCAUGCGAAGUGUGGCGCGUCGCACUCUGAGGGGAGGGAAGAGGAGAGGAAGGAAAGUAAGGAGGAGGCGGAGCUGGAACCGAGGGGGAAGGACUCCUGCGGUGCACGGGUGGCGUUGUGUAGCCUUAUAAUAGGAGACUGGGUCAUUGCUGUAUUGCCCAGGCUUCCUCAAACCUCUGGGCUCAGGUGAUCCUCUCUGCUCAGACAAUAGAAUCCCAAGUAGCUGGGACUACAGGUAUGUACCACCAUGCCCAGCUAAGCAUUCAUUUUGCACUGACACAUGUACAACCUCAUUCUCCUCUGAAGCUACCUUUGUAUUUAUCAAUGCUCCAUGUAGGUCAUACAUUUUGCCUUCAGAGAUCUUAUGGUCUAAAAGUUCAGCAAACGGACAAAUGCCUGAGAAGAAGGAAUUACAGAGGCUAUUUUCAAGAGCACUUUCACCACCAUUUUCACCUCCGUAAUUUCCUACAUAGACUUCUCUACCUUGAACACUUCCAUUCCUUCCCCUAUUGUACUCUCUUUAGUUGUCAUUUAAAGAAAUUGUCUUAGUCUGUUUGGGCUGCUACAGCAGAAUACCAGAGACUUGAUGUCUUAAACAACAUUUAUUCCUCACAGCUCUGGAGACUAGAACGUCCAGUCAAGGUGCCACAGGACUGGAUGUCUUGUGAGGGCCAUUUUCUGAUUCAUACACAACUAUUGCCUCACAGUGUCCUUAUAGGACAGAAAAAGGACAGAGAGUUUUCCAGGGUUUCUUUUAUAAAGUUGCUAAUACUAUUUGUGAUGCUUCCUCCGUCAUGACUUAAUCACUUCCCUAAGGCCCCAAGUCCUAGUACCAUCACAUUGGGGAUUAGAAAUUCCAUAUAUGAAUUUGAGGGGGUGGCAUAAAUAGUCUACUACAGAAGGUUUUAAGAAGAUCUCCCACCAGGUGCAGUGAUCAGCAUGCCUAUAAACCCAUCACUCUGGGAGGCUGAGGUAAGAGGAUCACAAGUUUGAGGCCAGACAGGGCAAUUUAGUAACCUAAAAAAACCCUGUAUCCAAAAAAAGAAAAAAAGGGGAGCGGGGUUCCUUUCUGCUCCCAGACCCAAUAGUGUAAGUUGCCUCGCCUGUUGUCCCCUUGUACAGCAUUCUUGCCCACCAUUUGUCAUUGUUAAUUGUCAAUCUUUAUGCACCACACAUCCAGCUAGAGCUCAAGUCUUGUAUCCCCAACACUUUAAGUGUUUGCUGUAUAGUAAGCAUGCAACAGAUAUUUGCCAAAUAAAUGGAUGAGAUUUUUGUGCUAGGAGAAGGAAGGUUCAGAGCAUUUUGGAGAAAAAGAACUUUACCCAAAAUAUGUUACAUAAAUUGAUACUUCAUAGUUAAACAUUAUUCUUGAAAAAGAUACCCAGAACAGAUCUUGUACAAAAACUAGGAAUAAUGGGAAAGAACAGGCUGGGCUUAGGAGCUGCAAAUUCAGAGUACAAGUUUUGAGCAAUUUAAAGGGGAUCUCUAAUUUGCAACCCAUAAGUAUGUCCAGGAAUCUACCACACAGAAAUUGUAAUAAAACUACAGCUUCUUUUCUGCCUUAAGAGGCACCAAGCUUCUUGAAGGAACACAGCAAUUUCACUUUAUUCUUAGUGGCAGACACUAUUAGUUGCCUAUCCAACAACACAAAACACACACACACAGAUCUUUUUCCAGGCACUGACUCCAUCUGAGGCAGUGGGAGGUGGAAGAAAUGUAUGAGAGGCGCUGAAAUAAAUUUUCUUCCUUAAAGAAAAUGUAUAGUUGGAGAAAAGUUGCUAUUUUUCUCCACUGGAUGUGACUAUGUAAGGAUAUGGUAUUUAUAGAUAAUACAGCUCUUGUGAGCAUUCAUAUAUAAUCCUGAAGAAAAAAGCCAACCAUUGAUAAUAGCUAACCAGAGAGAUAAAAGACAUCAUGAGCUACUGUCCAACCCUGGACUGCCUUGCUCUGGAUUUCAUUUUGGUAAAAGAAUAAGUGUCUUUAUAUUUAAUGAUGCCUUUAAAAUAGAAAUGUCUUUGUAUUUCUUUGUUACUGCCACAAUUGAAAGCAACUGACAUUCUCAUGUUUACGCCCCUUAAAGCCCUGCACAAUGCCUCGAACAUUAGACACUCCAUAUUGUAUGUGUAUAUAUAAUAAAGUAGUAGUUACCAAACUGAA